AAUGCAUUUUCAUGCUGAACUUUACUACAAGAUCACUGUACAACUCAGGAGAAAACACGUAAACUGGUUUGCUGGCACAUCAACAGAUCCCAUUUAACAAAGGACUAUCAAGUUUUUCUGAAUACAGGAAGCAUUUUUUGUAAGUAAAGCUACUACUAAGUAGUUGCCAUGGUAACUCAAUGUGGGUUGUUACCCAAGUUUAAGGUUUCAUGAAACGGAAAUCUGAAAAAAGGAAAAGAAAUCAACCUCCUUUCACAGAUUCAAAUCAACCAGAGACCUAAAGAAGCAAACUACUGCAGAGAAACCGAAGAUGUCUAGAAAAAUACCAAGUCUCUGUGUAGCUCUGCUCCUCAUCCUCACCUCGGCACAAGCAGCACGACAAACUCUCAACUCCAUCAGUGACAUAAAACGUUGUGUUCCUCAGUCCAACAUUUUAGAGCUGCUUCGCUGGUUUGCCGAUAUGGUCAAUAUUGACCAUUAUGGUACCAUGAGGGUGACGUUCAAUCCAAACUCUGAAUAUGGUUCACAUCAUUACGGCAACUACGAAGGCAUAUUGGAUCGACCUUCUUGGGGGUACAGAUACUACACAGUUGGUAACCUUCAUGAAGACUCAUCAGAACGGCUCCCUUCUUAUGUACGAAACGCCUGGUCAGGAACCGAUGGAUGGAGCAGAGCUCGGAUCGUAUUUAGCGCCACACAAACCAACGGGAGAUGGAAUAUACAACAAAUCUACAUCACACAGCAUAGAGACAGUUCUGUACAUAAUGACACCAGUUAUGAUCCACACCACACAUACCAGAUCACCACCAACCUUUUACGAGAAUUCAGAGGAUGGCCCAUUUCGGAAAUCCAACAGCAUAGCAUUUACUCCCAGAGAAGCAAUUUUGGAAACAGAUCUACUUAUCAGCAACAAUCCUACUCUAACAGGCACAGUCUUCAGUCUAGUCAAAGAACUGAUGAAGGUUCCCUGUUCAACGUGUGUAUGGCUGUGGCACUAUGUAUUUGUAUCUGUAUUAUCACUGUUUUCCUAAGUAUUGGAGGUAAAUAAUACCUAUUUACCCAGACACUGUUCAAUCCAAACAGUAAAUGUGUUGCUUUCAAAAUAUCAAUGAUAAAAACAGUCAAAAUGUCUGGAAAACCAGAUAUCAGAAGUGACAUGUCCGAGUAUUGCUGAAAUCCAACAACUUGGCAGAAGGUCCAGAGAGGGAAUGGUUCUACCCGUCCACAAGGAUCUCCCAUUCGAUACAUCCAAGAAACUUGAUAUAACUCAAAUACAAAACACAAUGAUGACUUUCUGAUGAGAUUCUGCGUUGCCAUUCUUUUGAUCUGUUGUUUUGGUUUUGUCAUUCUUAUGAAUUACUGCAAAUCAGACAAUAUUUCCAGUCACUGAACAGAACUGUAAACAUGAUGUUUUGCCAAUGGAAAAAAAUAUAGAAAAUCAUAAAUCAAAAUAAAGAAAAGUGCGUAAAUGUGAAUUUGCCUGAAAAACUAUAUUUGUGAUAAAGGAAUCAGUGUGAAUUUUAUCUAAAUGUGCUAUAAAUGUAAUUACAAGC